rnacentral:lncRNA from 1 species
UAACAAGAGAACGAUUACGAUGAACGUGGGAGAUGGGUCGAAGACUUUGAACAGAAUGGUUUAGAUUUUUCAGAGUGCAGAGAAUGCGUGGCUGCAAAUAAUGGAUAGUUAUCAAGUCCCUUUCAGUUUCUCUCGUAAAGCGCAAAAAAAAGGAGAAGAAAUUCAUAGCUUAUGAACUAAAUAAUUGGGUAAAGGAACUGAUUAAUUACUCAGAUGAAAAUGUACGUAUCUGUUU